GCUGGGUGCAGUGGCACGAGCCUGUAGUCCCAGCUACUUGGGAGGCUGAGGCUGGAGGAUCGCUUGAGCCAGGAGUUCUGGGCUGUAGUGCGCUGUGCCGAUCGGGUGUCCGCACUAAGUUUGGCAUCAAUAUGGGGACCUCCCGGGAGGGGGGACCACCAGGUUGCCUAAGGAGGGGUGAGCCGGCCCAGGUCAGAAAUGGAGCAGGUCAAAAUUCCUGUGCUGAUCAGUAGUGGGAUCGCGUCUGUGAACAGCCACUGCACUCCAGCCUGGACAAUAUAGAGACCCCGUCUCUA
rnacentral:SRP_RNA from 1 species